rnacentral:rRNA from 1 species
GACGAACGCUGGCGGCGUGCUUAACACAUGCAAGUCGAACGGUGAAGCGAGUGCUUGCACUCGUGGAUCAGUGGCGAACGGGUGAGUAACACGUGAGUAACCUGCCCAUCACUCUGGGAUAAGCACUGGAAACGGUGUCUAAUACUGGAUACGACCAACCCUUGCCUGGGGUGUUUUUGGAAAUAUUUAUCGGUGAUGGAUGGACUCGCGGCCUAUCAGCUUGUUGGCGGGGUAAUGGCCCACCAAGGCUACGACGGGUAGCCGGCCUGAGAGGGUGACCGGACACACUGGGACUGAGACACGGACCAGACUGCUACGGGAGGCAGCAGUGGGGAAUAGUGCACAAUGGGCGAAAGCCUGAUGCAGCGACGACGCGUGAGGGAUGACGGCCUUCGGGUUGUAAAACUCUUUCAGCAGGGAAGAAGAGAAAGUGACGGUAACUGAAGAAGAAGCAACGGCUAACUACGUG